rnacentral:tRNA from 1 species
GCCUCCGUAGCACAACUUGGAUAGUGCAGCAGCGUCCUAAGCUGAGGAUUGAGGGUUCAAAUCCCUCCGGGGGCA